rnacentral:ncRNA from 1 species
UAACCUCUGGCGAUGUCCGUGAAUGUUA